rnacentral:lncRNA from 1 species
AUGGAGCUGACUCUGGAGCAGCGGUAGAGGACUAUGGCAUUCAUUCCACAGCACGUAUGCAGUGUCCUCUCCGUGGGCAGAGAAAGAAAAUAGAGCAGACACAAGUUCACAAGAUUAUUUUACCACUUCUGCAAAAAAAAAAUGCAUCUAUGAAGUCAUAAAGACCAAUACAAUAAGAAGCCCCUGAGAAGCCCAGAGAAAGGAUUGCAAGGAAGGGGCUCUUCAACACUCUCUUGGGAACACAAUAGUAGAAUCACUCUGUGGUGUGCUAAAGGUCCCACCCUGCCUAAGGAAACACAAAGGAAAA